AAGCAGCGCUGGGGGUGCCUCGGUAGGGGCUGAGAGCAGACCCUUGGAACCUGAACCGGUUAGCACCGGCGUAGGGAAGCGCGGAUAGGGGUAG
rnacentral:ncRNA from 2 species